GCUCCCUUUGGCCGCACAUUUACUAAAAUUGGAAUGAUACAGAGAAGAUUAGCAUGGCCCCUGAACAAAUAUCCCUGCUACCUGGGCAAAUAGGCACCUUUUA